CGUUAGCUAACUUCUUAAAAGCUUUAUAUUUUAGAAGAUGGAAGACCUGGAUGCUUCAUACUUUGUAUAUGGAUGCCUCAUGUUACGAAGUUUCCGUCAGUCACAUGUCCAAUGUCCUUGACCUCAUUUUCAUGGUUCAGUGACUACUUGAAAAAAAAGUUCAGAUUUUUUGUAAUGUUAAAUUCUCUCUUAUUAUAAGUAAUAGGAUAACAAUAUUUGGUAUGUGCGUACCUUGCAAGGUCCUCAUGCCCGUCAGACAGUUUUCACUUGACCUCAACCUCAUUUCAUGGAUCAGUGAACUAGGUUAAGUUUUCGUGGUCAAGUCCAUAUCUCAGAUACUAUAAGCAAUAGGUCUAGUAUAUUCGGUGUAUGGAAGGACUGUAAGGUGUACAUGUCCAACUGGCAGGUGUCAUCUGACCUUGACCUCAUUUUCAUGGUUCAGUGGUUAUAGUUAAGUUUUUGUGUUUUGGUCUGUUUUUCUUAUACUGUAUGCAAUAGGUCUACUAUAUUUGGUGUAUGGAAUGAUUGUAAGGUGUACAUGUCUAGCUGGCAGGUGUCAUCUUACCUUGACCUCAUUUUCAUGGUUCAGUGGUCAAAGUUAAGUUUUUGAGUUUGGGUCUUUUUUUCUAAUACUAUAUGCAAUAGUUCAACUAUAUUUGGUGUAUGGAAAUAUUUUAUGAUCUAUAUGUCAGUCACGCAGGUUUUAUUUGACCUUGACCUCAUUUUCAAGGUUCAUUGCUCAGUGUUAAGUUUUUGUGUUUUCGUCUGUUUUUCUUAAACUAUAAGCAAUAGGUCAACUAUAUUUGUUGUAUGGAAGAAUUGUUAGCUGUACAUGCCUGCCUAGCAUGGUUCAUCUGACCUUGACCUCAUUUUCAUGGUUCAUUGGUCAAUGUUUAGUUAACUUGGUUAAUGUUAAGUUUAUGUGACAGUUGUAAUAAAGCUUUAUAUUUAGGACUAUCAACAUAAUAUCAAUGAUUAGUAAAGAAGGCGAGACAUUUCAGCGUGUGCACUCUUGUUAUGUUUAUAAAGGGACAUAACUCAAGAAUGGUAAAAGUGUCGCCACCAAAUUUCGUACUUAAUCUGUAUUAUGUAGUAAUAAGCAUUGUGUAUAAGUUUCAUAACAUUUGGUUGUGGCAAACUAAAGUUAGAAAAUGGAAACAAAAAAUUUGUACUUGAUCUUAGUUUUGUGGUAAUGAAUAUUGUGUAUAGGUUUCAUAAUGUUUGGUUGGGGCAAACUUAAGUUACAGAAUGGAAACUAAAAAUUUAGCAAUCUUUCGAUUUAUAAAGGGGCGUAACUCAAUAAUGGUUAAAGUGACCCUACCCAAAUUCAACUUGAUCUGUAUUUUAUCAGUGGAAGUCAAAAUUAAACAUUGCAUUGUAUAAAGCAUUGAUUGUAGUUGAUUCAACUAUAAUCAUGGACAAAGGAAGAUAACUCCAAUUUUAAAAUUACUUGAUAUUUAGAAGAAAAUAAAAAUUUAGCAAUUUUUCCAUUUAUAAAGGGGCAUAACUCAAGAACGGUUUAAGUGACGCCACCAAAAUUCAAACUUGAUCUGUGUUUUGUGGUAAUAAGCAUUGUGUAUAAGUUUCAUAACAUUUGGUUGAGGCAUACUCAAAUUAGAGAACAGAAACGAAAAAUUCAACAAUUUUUCCAUUUGUAAAGGGGCAUAACUCUAGAACGGUAAAAGUGACGCUACCAAAAUUCAAAAUUGAUCUGUGUUUUGUGGUAAUAAGCAUUGUGUAUAAGUUUCAUAACAUUUGGUUGAGGCAAACUAAAGUCAGAGAACGGAAACCAAUUUUGGGACAUACGUACGUUAUGCCCCCUCCGCUACGGCGGGGGCAUAAAAAUAAAGUGUAACAAAAGAACCUAGCAUCAUAUUGCUAAUAGCGCCAGUAGCAUUGUUUGGUGAAUUUGUGCUUUUUUUUUUUCAGUUUGGCUAAUGGACAAAAAAUGUUUGGUUCAAAUCUAAAUAAAAUGCUUUUAUCUCCCUAUUA